AUUGAACGCUGGCGGCAUGCCUUACACAUGCAAGGCGAACGGCAGCACGGGAGCAAUCCUGGUGGCGAGUGGCGAACGGGUGAGUAAUAUAUCGGAACGUGCCCAGUCGUGGGGGAUAACGUAGCGAAAGCUACGCUAAUACCGCAUACGAUCUAUGGAUGAAAGCGGGGGAUCGCAAGACCUCGCGCGAUUGGCGCGGCCGAUAUCAGAUUAGGUAGUGGGUGAGGUAAAGGCUCACCAAGCCGACGAUCUGUAGCUGGUCUGAGAGGACGAGCAACCACACUGGGACUGAGACACGGCCCGGACUCCUACGGGAGGCAGCAGUGGGGAAUUUUGGACAAUGGGCGCAAGCCUGAUCCAGCAAUGCCGCGUGCAGGAUGAAGGCCUUCGGGUUGUAAACUGCUUUUGUACGGAACGAAACGGCGAGCUCUAAUACAGUUUGCUAAUGACGGUACCGUAAGAAUAAGCACCGGCUAACUACGUGCCAGCCGCCGCCGUAC
rnacentral:rRNA from 1 species